UAACAGCUUUUAUUUCUUUGAAUGGGGAAACAUCAAAUUCGUCUAAGCAAUGCAGCAAUAAAAUUGUCUGUUUAUGUCAUAUUUGCAUUUACAGGUUACUCAAGGGUGCGCUAGAAUUUUAGAAGAUGUUAUUCAGUGAAUGGACGGCACAGGUGAAAGCGUGCAGUGAAGUUUAUUGGACAUGUAUAUGGUGAACACUGACCCUUCUUUAUCACAGGAGCUCGUCUGGAGUCUGUUUCACACCUGAAGACAGCUGGUACAUUGACCCCGGGAUGGGACGGGACAAUCCCAGAACCUCUGAAUUACGUCAACAAAGAACUCGGGGCCCAUGAGGGCCAUUCUAGCAAAUGGGUCCUUUUGUGUUCCUCAUUAACAUAUGAAGUGCCCCAUGAACAAUUCAUGAAAAUAAUCCUAGUGGACAGUGAAAUACAUGAAGUAAUAUCCUUAUUCUGACUUAUUGUUUCACUCUGACUCUUAUUCAUGCAUAAAUACUUAAUUUAAUCAUUCUUUAAAGCCAAUCGCUGUCUAAAUGGAGGUUGGAUGUUAAAG
ensembl:lncRNA